GUCGCCGGGGCUCGGCACCGCUGCCCGCCCGCAGCAGCCGCCGCAGGGGGAGGCGGCCCCCGCCCGCCAGAGCCUGCCCUCCGCGGCCCAUCGCGGGGAGGGAGCCGGGCCCGCGCGGGCCGGCCUACCUGGUCGGCGUCAGUACACCGCAGCUGCGUGCUCCAUCCCAUCCCCCUGGCCCGAGGUGCAAGAUCACGCUGAAGAAUGCCCUUUGAAAGAAUCUGGAUCGUACGCUUCACUUUUCAGACAGGAUUACGUACUUGUGCAACCCAGAAAAGCCCUUGCCCUUCUUACAGGCGUGUGGGGGGGGGGUGUCUUUAACUGCAGAAAUGCUGACAUGCUACAGUAAUAGUGGCAGAUUUUUAAAAAAUCCUAGCCUCUCUGCUCAAGUUGCUUCCACCUUUGAAAGCUUUGCUGUUUCCCAGCAUUCCAAUUUUAUUUUGUUCUUAAGCAAG